ACUUCUGAGUAUGUAUCAUAUCAUGUUACCUUGAUUAAGCUUUCAUUAACACUAGAGAUUGUUAUUUUUAGCUGAAUGCCUUACAUUUUUAGGAGUAUAAUCACUUCAAAAUAAAAAAUUGUAUGUAUUACUUACUUUUAUUCUUAUUUCUUUGACAUGGCUUACUACAGUAAUAAUAAGUUCCAAAAUGCUACUAUAUAAAUGCAAUGAACACAGAUAUUUGUUACUGUUGUUCUUGAGUUUACAGGGACUUUCUCUAAGAUAUCUUCUAUUGACUAUAAUGAUGACAGGUUUAUGAUAAGGACUAUUAAUUAUAUAUAUAUAUUAAGGGAAAAACCUUCCAUUCCUUAUUUAAAAAUACCUUUAAAUGUUAAAUUUUAGCACAUGCCUUCCUGCAGCUAUUGUAUUGUCAACAUAAUUAUAGUAAUGAAUGCCCUUAAAUUUUAUCAUUCCUGCAUUCCUGAGAUAAGCCCUGAUUUACUGUAGUGGGUUAUUCUUGUAGUAAAUUGUUACAGUCCCUAUUUAGUAUCUUCUUUAAGGUGUCAGUUAAGAUGCAUUAUUGAUUUUAGGUCUUCUCGGCCAAGAAGCGGAGACCAUCCUGCUACUCCACAACUAAUCUUGAGUGGGAGGAAAUACAUAAGGAAAAAAAAUGCAUCGUGGCCUUAUUAAACAGCAAAAGACAAGGGAGUUGGGGACAACAUUUUUUCUUAUACAGACCUAAGAGAAUCCAAAUACAGUCCUUUUGGCAAUUGAAGUUGCACGGAUAAUGUUUCUUUUGUUGACGUAAACCAUGGGAACUUCAGUUGCAUGAUCUCAUUAACUGAUUACAGCUGUGACUUUGAAGUAAUCUCUCAGAAUGAGCACUUUUAGAAGAGUUGUUACUCACGGGCCAAGUCCAGGAUUGUGGAAGAAGAUUUGCAGAGGGCAUCAGGAAAGAUGGCUGAAUGUUUUCUCCAUUUUCUGAUGGCCAAAAGGAAUACAGGAACCACAGUACCUAGCACAGAACAGGGCUGUGAAAUCCUGGAAUUGAUAUGGAGGACCUGGAAUCCCAAGGCUGAGAGGUCAGUUUCCAUUGGCAACGCAGUAAGGAAACAAUGCCUUUUAGCGUGUUACUGUAAAGGGUGAGAUAUUCUUUUAGAAGAUUAGCAAUAGCUUGCACCAUAAACUAGAUGUAAUGUAGGAAUUCCUGUCAUGCCUGAGCGAAACGAAUCUGACUAGCAUCCAUGAGGACCCAGGUUCGAUCCCUGG
rnacentral:lncRNA from 1 species